rnacentral:rRNA from 1 species
AACGAACGCUGGCGGCAGGCUUAACACAUGCAAGUCGAACGGUUGUAGCAAUACAGCAGUGGCAGACGGGUGAGUAACACGUGGGAACCUUCCUAGGGGUACGGAACAACUCAGGGAAACUUGAGCUAAUACCGUAUACGUCCGUGAGGAGAAAGAUUUAUCGCCCUUAGACGGGCCCGCGUCGGAUUAGGUAGUUGGUGGGGUAACGGCCUACCAAGCCUACGAUCCGUAGCUGAUCUUAGAGGAUGAUCAGCCACACUGGGACUGAGACACGGCCCAGACUCCUACGGGAGGCAGCAGUGGGGAAUCUUGGACAAUGGGCGCAAGCCUGAUCCAGCCAUGCCGCGUGAGUGAAGAAGGUCUUCGGAUUGUAAAGCUCUUUUACCAGGGACGAUAAUGACGGUACCUGGAGAAUAAGCCCCGGCAAACUUCGUGCCAGCCGCCGCGGUAAGAC